rnacentral:rRNA from 1 species
AACACAUGCGAGUCGAACGUAGAACGGAUUUUAGUUUACUAAAAUUGUCAGCUAAGUGGCGCACGGGUGAGUAAUAUAUAGUUAACCUGCCCCAAAGAAGAGAAUAAUUGAUGGAAACGUCCUGUAACUCUCUAUAUGCCUUUAUCACAUAAGUGAGCAAGGGAAACAUUUAUGGCUUUGGGAUGGGACUGUACGGUAUCAGAUAGUUGGUGAGGUAAUGGCUCACCAAGUCAAUGACGCCUAACUGGUUUGAGAGGAUGAUCAGUCACACUGGAACUGAGACACGGUCCAGACUCCAUACGGGAGGCAGCAGUGGGGAAUAUUGCACAAUGGAGGAAACUCUGAUGCAGCAACGCCGCGUGGAGGAUGACACAUUUCGGUGCGUAAACUCCUUUUAUAUGAGAAGAUAAUGACGGUAUCAUAUGAAUAAGCACCGGCUAACUCCGUGCCAGCAGCCGCGGUAAUACGGGGGGUGCAAGCGUUACUCGGAAUCACUGGGCGUAAAGAGCAUGUAGGC